UAUAGUGUGUAGAUGUGUAUAUAGUGUGUAUAUAGUGUGUAGAUGUGUAUAUAGUGUGUAUAUAGUGUGUAGAUGUGUAUAUAGUGUGUAGAUGUGUAUAUAGUGUGUAGUGUAGAUGUGUAUAUAGUGUGUAGUGUGUAGAUGUGUAUAUAAUGUGUAUAUAGUGUGUAGAUGUGUAUAUAGUGUGUAGAGUGUGUAGAUGUGUAUAUAGUGUGUAUAUAGUGUGUAGAUGUGUAUAUAGUGUGUAGAUGUGUAUAUAGUGUGUAGAUGUGUAUAUAGUGUGUAUAUAGUGUGUAGAUGUGUAUAUAGUGUGUAGAGUGUGUAGAUGUGUAUAUAGUGUCCAGACUGUUAAAUCCUUUCAUAUUGAGAACAUAUUUAAAUAUGUUGUGAUAAGAGUUCAGAUUAUUCGACACGUGGCCAACAGAAGACGUGAAAACAUCGUCACUGACGUCGUUCCCCAAGCUCACAAAAUAAAAACCAUGUUUAUUAAUCAAUUGAUUUAUAAAAGAAUAACUUGUUUAAAGUUCACUAAAUAUGA